rnacentral:tRNA from 1 species
GGGGAUGUAGCUCAGCUGGGAGAGCGCUUCGUUCGCAAUGAAGAGGCCGUGGGUUCGAGUCCCAUCUUCUCCACCA